rnacentral:lncRNA from 1 species
GCUCUUCCAUCUCAAUGGGCUUCAGAGGCCACCUCAGCACCCCUAAGGGUCAAUUUGGAUCUAGCUUUGACUGGAUCUGUCCUCUGGGGAUAUUGUGUUGGAGGUGCAGCCACACUCAGUGCAGCCAUGCUCUGCUUAGAGGUGAUAUUAUGGAAAGGUGGUGGCUGGGUCGGCAGGAAGAGUCUUUGUGA